AGCGUCUCACUCGGGUCUCGGUUACUUUACCUUGCCUUACCAAGCACUGCCCUGAAUACCUUUAUUUCGCGUCCUAAGCCUUUGUUGUUGCUUACAUGUUGUUAAGUAGCAUUCGAGUACUUCUCCUCAAAGAGACUUGUGACAUAAAGCUGUCAACGUAUCCACGUGCUCUUCUUGAUCGUUAACAGAUACUCAUCUAGGCCGUUUUUUCGGCGAUCUAUCAGAAGAACACUUGUGGUCAACUGGACUAGGCGGCAUAAGGUUAGUACAGGUUUUAAAACCUUCUCAACCUCAAUUCGCUAUGUACAGGGAUAUAAUGAUGAAAUCAACACGACGGUUUGAUUAGGCUCGAGGACUUCCUUUGAAUGACACUGAUUUCGCGUCUCAGAUGGUCGAAAACAGAAGUUGUAGGCGGGUUAGGUCGGAGCUCCAGUG
rnacentral:lncRNA from 1 species